UACGGAGGGAGCUAGCGUUAUUCGGAAUUACUGGGCGUAAAGCGCACGUAGGCGGCUUUGUAAGUAAGAGGUGAAAGCCCAGAGCUCAACUCUGGAAUUGCCUUUUAGACUGCAUCGCUUGAAUCAUGGAGAGGUCAGUGGAAUUCCGAGUGUAGAGGUGAAAUUCGUAGAUAUUCGGAAGAACACCAGUGGCGAAGGCGGCUGACUGGACAUGUAUUGACGCUGAGGUGCGAAAGCGUGGGGAGCAAACAGGAUUGAGAAACCCCGGU
rnacentral:rRNA from 1 species